AAAAACGAGGUUAUAAAAGAAGAAUCUUUAUUCGACAUUUUUCACUUACAUAUAAACAUAGAGCAACUUUUUCUCUGCAAACACCAAUUUCUCCACUUGCGUUGUAUAUUUUUUAUAUUACUUUUAUUCGCAAUUUUUUCCUGCAAGUUUUGCAAUUUAGUCGUCCCUAGAUGUAAAUAUUCGUAAAAGGUUCUGAUUGUCAGCUGUAUAUAACAAAAAUUGGCAAACUCUUUCGGACAAUACGAUUUUAAGAGGAAAAAGAAAAUUUAUGCCUAUGUUUGCCUGCAAUUGGUUAAGUGUUUUACUUGAGAUAUCUCGAGAGAGAGGAUUCCCAGAAAUUGGCCGGUUCGACUAAAUAUUGAAAUAGGUUUCGUAAGCGGUUCUCUUCUGUUCGUUUAAAGGAAACGUGGUGUUGCGACACCUACAACUUUCUAGCUGAUCCCAGGCGAACUAGUCCUUGCAUGUAACGCAACUAGUUUACGGUGGCUGUAAGUGUUACAGUAAAUCGAUAUCAGGAUAAGUUUUUCAGACACCUGCACACAGGAAAAGGACAAAAGAUGAAAAUCGAUUUUCAACGAUAGAUUCGAUCUAUAAAAACAAACUAUCUUUUCAACACAGGACACUAUUCUUAUAUUGGGUUACCAACCCAAUACUGACCAAUAAUUGGCCAUUAAUACCAAAUGGCCAAUAAAAUCACUGUGUCCAUAAAUUUUGUGACAAACAAGCCAUUUAAAACUGUUUCUUAACAUGAUGAAAAUCCAAUUUUUUCGCCAAUUCGAUAAAUUAUCAGGAAUAGAGCUAUUGGGAUAUGUGUAAUUUUGUGUGUUACACUAGAUUAGCUGCGUAAUAGUGACACACAUAUAUAUGAGUUUGAGUUUGUGGAAUAUGUGCGUGCGCAGCGUAUGGUAAAACAAAAGAAUGCAACUGUUGCGUACGCAUGGUGAUGACAAAGAUGGCGGGACAAAGAGAGUGCUGAGACGCGUGCAAUGUGUAUUUACGAAUAUUUUAUAAAUCACAUAUUAAAUAAAUCUGAAACUAUUUUGAUAUCAAUUCUAAGUGUAAUUAUAAUAAAACCAGUGCUUGCAUGUUCGAACGAAUUGACGUUUCGACGUACUCGAUAAAAACGUCAAUAUAUUCAGAUACAGUGGCUACAGAAAUUAUCGACGCAUAACCUUAUCUCGCAACGAAACGUCCCUUUAUCAGAGACUCUACAUUUCACUGUUAUAGUGGCAAAUUAGUGCAGUCGUAUGAAAGUAUUACACCGAAUCGUGCGAAAUAUAUUUCACCGCAAUUAAUUAGCAUUACAGCAUAGACGUUGCAGUUGUCAUGUAAGAGACACAAGAAAUCACGAAAUUGACAGAUCACCGGUGAUCUCCAUGCGUCGCAGUUCGAACGUUUCACAAAUAAGGAAAGUUUAUGUACUAUGGGUUUGGCUACUAUGGAGGGGGUGUCGCCGGGGCCCAGCUCAGAGAUGGCCAUGCUGUUACUGUUUUCUCACAUUGGAACACUCUCUACGUUGUUGUUUCGAUGGCCUGCGGGAUGUUCGUUAGACCCCCUUGGUUUUUCUAUCGCUAAUUUAUGGUUCUGUGACACAGUCUUCGGAUGUUGUCUUCGUCAGAGCGUCAAUUCAUCCGAAUAUUCGUGUACGUGUGGCCAUAGCCUAAGCUGACAGUUGAUAUUGAAAAACCGAAACACGUGAAGUUUGCGUCCUGUCCGUCAGUGAUCCUUGUCGUAGACAAACUUAGCAAACGAUCAACCCUGAUUUCCUUUGUAAUAGAAAACUUGCUCAUUGUCGAUCGUUGCUCUGUUUAUCUAUGGUCCGACAAUGUCAGAGCCAAGAUUCGCCGCCGGCAUCGACCCGGCCGUAACGUGGUUCCAGGAUUUUGGAGAUGGUCCAAACUUCCGGGUGGAGCCUGUAGAAUUUUAAUUACGCCGGUGGCCAGGCCCAGACAACAAAAGGCAGCCGCGUAUUCGGCAUACACGGUUUGCCUUUUUUCUCGCCAUUCUACUCGCGUCUCUCCACCCCCUUCGGCUAUUCUACUCGGCCGCCAAAUAGGAACGUCGGUGACUAGGACAGAUUUUAUUCGUGAAACGUUAAAUGGAAGAAUGAAAUAUUAAACGAAGCAAGCUUGAUCAGUUUAUUAAAACAAGAUUUCAUUAAUCGAAAUAUAUGCUGUUGAAACUGUAACGUUUCUUAAUAGAGCCAUGGGUUCACUUCUACUAGAAUUUGCGGAUCUUCGUUACUCGUGUUUCUUCAACAGUCUAUUAACAUUACGUAUGACUUGUGAUAUUCACUUAAGUUGAUGAGCUUCUGAUGAGUGAAUCUAAUUAUCUGAACUUAUACUUCUAUUACGUGAAUUGUAAGUAGCGGAGAAGAUAGAGCAGCAUUCCUACUGUAUCAAUUCUAAUUACGUGAACUGUUCAUUCUUUGAUAAGUUUGCACGCAGUGAGAGCCAAUGACAUACAUAUGCAGAGUAGUACCUCGAUUAUCCGAACGUUCCACUAUUCGGACACUUUUCACGUGUAAGAAACAUAAUACUCUGCAAAAAUGUUUCUUAACAAUCAACGAAGCUACCAGCGAAAAGACGAUACAGCUUCACGAACAAUUAAAAGGAUUAGCCGUUAUACUGCUGUUAUAUGUGUUAAAUGCGAUACUAGAAAGGUCGAGGACACCAUAUUUAUUAUAUUACGACAGAUUUAGAAGAAACUUCUUUUCCAUACAAUACCAGAAUUCGAUGAUCGUGAUAACGUCGACGCGAUAGAACGCUUUUAAUGUGAUGAAUUUUCUGCUUUAGUGGACGUCUUCUUCAGAUGAUGUUAAUGUCGUUUGGUGGAGAAACGCGACGGAAGGGAAUUGGCGUAGCUGCUGAUCGCACAGUUUCUCGGUCACAUUGGUGUAACCGGUUCUCCACGACUUCUCAUCAAGUGUCUUUGUGUCGUCGAGGAAUCCGUGCCGUUCGAGCGAUUUUUAUUAAACGACGCGGCUCAUAGAGUACAUUGUUUGUCGCGAGCAACGCCACUUCAUCGCCUCUUGUGGGAACAGCCAACCCCGAGCCACCGUAGAAUCUCGCAAUUGCUGACUGACGAUUUAGAGCCCCACCGAUUAAAACGGACUGAGAAAAGGAAAUUUAUUUGUUAGGAAAGAAGGCUUUUUCGUUUUUGUGUUUUGAAGAAUGGCGCGUUUUUGGCAACUGUGUGAUAUAGAGGUGGGCAGGUUUCUCCACGGGUGGGUUAUAUAUUGGCUUCCUUUAGUUUAUGAUUUUCUAACGUAUGAUUUUUUGUUAGUUUGUAAUGAAAACAGUGCUUAACACAUUGUUGACCGGCCACGAUGCGCUUUUUUCGCAUCAGCGUCGUUUUCUCGGUGCACUGUUGGAGAUGAUGCAGUCCAAUUGUUGGUUAGCAUACCUGAAGCUGUGUCUCUGGCUUAUAAGACCAGUCAAGUUGCGUCCUUUGUUGUAAAAAAAAUGCCAACGAUGACGGAACGUACCAAUGAAGAAUCUUUCAAUGAAUUGUACGCGAAUGUUUUAUCUGAUUGUCCGGGUGAUUGUGAGAAUCAAAUUGUGGUGACUUGGAAAAUGAUACUGUGUCAGAAGAUAGUGAAUCUGAUAUUAGGCCACCAAAAUAUCAUUAAACCUACGUGCAUAUUACAAUACAAUACGCACAUGAAAGGGGUAGAUCGUGCAGAUCAGUAUUUGGCGAACAGCAGCAUUUUACGAAAAACUUUAAAGUGAUCCAGAAAAUUAGCAUUUUUUCUGAUAAACUGCACCUUGUUCGAUGCAUAUAAAAUAUACUGUACCUAUCUGCCAGAAAAUAAAACAAGAUAGAACAAAUUUCUACUGCAACUAGCUAGAGAAUGGAUAACUGUGGAUUCCAAAGAACGCAGCAUCGCACCUGACGCUUCUCGAAUUUCUAAAACAACUCCUUAUUAUAAUGGUGCACCCUUCAAGCUUUCCGAACAACUAAGAGACCACGUGUUAGAAAAAAUAGUCACUGGCAUAAAAACAAAUCCGACUAGAGCGUGUAGAGUAUGCUCUUCAAAAGGAAAACGCAUAAACUAGAUAUAUUGCAAAAGCUGUUGUGCAUCAUCACACAGAAAAAGAAAUAUUAAAAGUUAAAUAAUAAAUAGAAUUUAUUAAAGUUUAUUUAUAUCGUGUUACUUGCACAUCCAAUUGCGAAAUAAUAGCCGAUGACAUGAGAUAAAUUCUCAGUAAAAUUACCGGUCAACAAUGUGUUAACGGUGCUUUUUUAAGUUUCUAACUCUGCAGGCAUUUUGAAUAGAUUACACGCGUUUAAUGAUAUUAUAUAAUGUUUCUAAAUAUUAUUAUAGCAUGGAAGAGGCGAUGAAAAGAAAUUGCUUGAGGUUGUACAGGUAAAUUUUAUUGACUGCAAGCUAAAGCACCGUCUGAUAUUAUUAAUAUUGACAACGUAUUUAUCGAUAUAUAAUAUAUAUAUAUAAUAUUAAUUAUAUGUAAUAUCGAUGGAAUACUUGUGAAAGUUUAUUUACGUUAUGUCAUAUUAAAAAGGCAAUAUUCAAACAGAAUUUAUUUCCAUAUCGUCUAUGCUUUAUAGGAAUUAUUAUGAAAAUUCUUUUUCAUAUUUCCUGCUUUUUAAUUUGCCUUCUAUACUUCGCUUGAUAUCGCUUGGAUAUUGUAAAACAUACGUACAAAAUGUGCAUAACUGAAGAACGAAUUUUGUAUUAUGUUUGUUCAUGAACUCUUUCCACUCCUUUAUGUCAUAAAUUACAUAUUAUAUGUUCUAAUCAUAUGUUCUAGUUUGAACAACGCAUAUAUGUUGAGUGUAACUAUAUUUAUUGAUCAUGAAUAUAUUCAUUCAAAUAUAAACGCACAUACAUUAGAAUUUCAUAGAAAUUGUUGAGUAAUUAGAAUAAUAUAUGCAUAUUCGUAACAACAUUUUGAUAAAAGUAUAGGAUUUUGUCAAUACCACCUAAUGACAAAAUCUGUAAUCACUUGAUUGCUCAAUAAUAAUCCAUAUGAAUGGACUGAAUUCCAUGGAAUAAAUUCCAUUUGAAAAUUGCUUUUUUAAUAUGACAUAGCGUAAAUAAACUUUCACACGUAUUUCAUCAAUAUUACAUAUAAUUAAUAUUAUAUAUAUAUAUAUUAUAUAUCAAUAAAUACCCAAUAGUACUCUAAAGUACGUUUAGGACGUGAAGGAUUAAAUGAAGCUUACGCAGCUUGCAAAUGACUUUAACAGAAAUAUCCAAAAGCUUUGCAACUUCCAAAUCAAAUACUCGGAAAAACCCAAGCCUCGUUUCAUCCUCUUUUAAACGUCAAAUUAAACCGACCCUGCAAUCUGUUUCUCACCAUCAAACCUCAUACUUCCCCCUCAAACACAUUUUAAAAUCGCUCGUUCAGCACCCUUAUCUUCCUUCCCAAUCUCCUUCUGCUUUUAUUCGUCUACAGGAAGAAAGAAAGAGAGAGAGAGAAUGAUUCCCUAAUUUUACCCAAUUUUCUCCAAUUUUUCCAAAGGUAACUCUGGAUUCAGCCGAAGCAGAAAAGCGUGGCGCGCACCAACCCGAACCAGCUUUUACAUUUCCUCGACGUUAGAUUGCGUUCCUCGACGUACAUAUGUAGGUCGUCGCGUUUCUUCCUGGCAGAAAUUUGUGUUUAAGUCCCGUGGAAUCGAAUUUCGACAGCCGCCCCCCCCCCACGCCGUGAUUCGUCGUUCAUUUGUUUAUAUUUAUUCUAUCGUUUGCGUUUUGCAAUGUGUUGUGUCUAGCAAAGAUGGAAGGUUUCGCGAUAUUUAUUUUGUUCAUUGCAGAUUGAUUCAACUGACUGAAUUCGAUGGUGUAAUCUUCCAAACAUCAUAUGAUUAGUAUAGGCGAUGUUGUUUAUCGACUUAACUUCUGUGUAACUUGAUCAUCUUCGCUGUGCCUUCGUUAUUCUACGAGUUUAUCUUUCGAUGAUGAACGAUGUCGAAUAAGCGAUGCUGGAUUAAACGAAGCUUCUGUUUGGUUUCAUUUGAUUUUUUCAUUAUUCUCGAUUAUUAUUGCUGUUGAUAAUUUCCUCACUGGUUUCUUAUUCCGUGGUUGUGUAUACUUAUAAAUUUACAGUUUAUGAUAUUAAGAAUUGGAAACACGCAUUUAAGUUUGGGAGGAUUUUCAUAUGUUUAAUAUAAUUCCAAUACUAUUUCGAUAUAGUAGGUGCAUGAUAUUUAUAGCAAAAAUAAAUCUCGUGAUCCUGAAUGGUUUUCUAAUCUAAUUGAACUAUUGGAUUGACAACUAAGUGUCACUUAUCACGCAAUCACUUAUUUUCAGAUCACCUAACCCCAACCUAACCUCAAUACGUAGAACGUAGCAGAAAGGAAGAAACUUGUAGAUGUUUAAAAUAUCUUAAUUAUAUGAUAUUUGCCACAUGACUAAUUAUACCUUAAGUACAGUCCAAAGUUGGUACUCUAUCAACAUCAUUAAGCGAAUGAAACUUCUAACCCUAAUUCACUUCCAACCUUCAUUACCACCUAGUGACAAACUCCGCAAUCACAUAGUUGCCAACCUAAUACAUUUAUGUACCUUUACUUUCAGUAAACUAAUAUAAGAAUAAAAAGAUCUAUGUACUCUUUUCACUAAGAAUACAUCAAUCACUCAAUGCAAUUGAACCUGCAUACUGAAUCAAUCAUUUAUGGCAAUCCGCAAAAUUCUCCAGUAAUUCUAUAAAUUUUGUCCAUCUGGUAUCAUCGUUAAAAGCAAACGAUACCAAAUUUCUGAUUGCUGUCUGAUGAAGGAAAGCCGUGCGCUUGAAGUCACUUUGAUCUUAGGGAAAUAUCAGAUGAAAAGAGGCGCGAACCGUAAUAUGGUGAAAGUUGGCAUAACUGAUGGAAGGAAGCGGACGAGAGCGGAAGUUAGUGGAAAAACCAAUGAAUGGAAGGAUUUAAUCGCGCGAUCUAGUUUCGUAGGCGAAGUGAAGUUGUUCGUGUUUCGAUGCCAGGUACAGCUGACGCUGACAAUUUAUCGAGCCGGUAAACUUUCCAGCUUCGUUCGCACGAAAUACGAUGAAAAAGUUGAUCCCUGUGAAGGAACCGCUUGGAACAUCGCGAUUUCAGUAGCUUUCCUACAACUUUUCACGCAAAUGUCCACUUCUCUCUGCUUAUUUCUUCUUGCAGGUAGCUCCGAAUCGAAUACGCUCUCGGGUUAUUUCGUCUGCGAGUGUAAUAAAAAUGGAGGAAGAAGAAGGAAGUGAAGAGACGCGACAGAGACCUACCGAUACCGAUUCCUCUCCAUUUAGUUUUAUUUCUUCUCCAUUUUCGACUCAGUGCUCACUUUAACGCUGUCUCCGCGCGGCAAUUGCCAACACCUUUCUGCAGACUGCGCUCCGGGUUCUUUCGUUUGCAAGUCUAACAAAAAACGAGAAAGAAGAAGAAGGAGGAGGAGAAGAAGAAGAAGAAGAAAAGAUAGGGAGAGAAAGAAAGGACGACAAGGGGAGACUUACGGUCCUCGCGGAAUACAGAGGAAACGCGGCGCGUAAAUAGAGCGAAUAAAAGAGGUCGAGUUGAAAUGGGGCUGAAAAUUUGUAAAGAUGAGGAAAAGGGUUUUUUUUCGAGUUAAUGAAGGUAAGCUUGGGCAAAGAGCUUGAAAGUUAAUUAAGAAAAGCCGGGAAGAAGCGAUUUUUUUCUCUCUUUUCUUUUUUUUUUCAACUUGAGCUUCACGAUCGUGCUUCGCUUUAUGCACCAAAGUUUCUUACGUUUUGCUACGCUUUUUUCCGCUACUUGUUCCUCUUUUCUACUCUGGACAGAACAUAUGUACGCCAUUGAAACGUAAGGAUGUUUCCGUCUCGCUGUUUAUUAUAUUAGGUUAGCAACUAAGUGAUUGCGGAUUUUGUCAUUACCAAUGGUGAAGUCCGCAAUCACUUGGUUGCCUACCCAAUAGAAACAUUUAUUCUUCUCAGUUGAAUUCCUGUGAAUUCAAAUAUUUUAUUUUAUUUUUAUUAAUUUAAAUACAACUCUAUAGGAAUUCUACAGUGGAAUUCAUGCCAUUUUAACGAACGACCAAUUCCAAGAGGAUUCGAUUAUUUCUUCGUUAGCCAUUAAAUUAUACAUUGCGCUCAUUUUCACCAGCCAGCUGCUUGCUACUCCAUUGCACCGAUAAAAUAGAAAUUUUCUACCGGACAAAAGGAAAUGUUUCGCGUGGUUUUCAACAACGUUCCAGAGUUCAGGUUAUUGGUCAUCGUCUGGUAAAUAAAAAAUCGUUGAUUCACACCGUCUCGUCAUAGAAUCCCUUGGCUUUUGGAGGAUAUGGCGCGAGAGGACGAUUUUGCAAUCGCAGGAAUAUUAUUUGGCGAGCCCGUGCUAUCAUUAGCGAGCAAUUCAUCGUGUCGUGACGGGAAAAUUGACCGUCCAAACACGGAGAAUCGAUAUUCCAUUACGGAGGAUCGGUGGUUGGCCAGAGAGAGGCUGCGAUAAGAGUUCAACUAUGGCGAGCGGGCACCGCUUUGAAGAUAGAAGAUGAUAAAAACGUCUGGAAAAUGUAUCUAUCUUGAUGUUCUGUGGGCUAAUUCUAUUCUUUCUAUUUUUAGUAUAUCUUCUUGCAGUUACAUUUGAACUUUUUGUAAUACACAGGUCCAUAAAAAUAGACGAACGUGCUCGCUGAGACAGUUAGACAUAUAGUGGAAUUGUUAGUCGAAUAGCGAACAGUUAGAGAGUCGAAUAGUAGCAUGAGCGAGCCACGAUUACGACAUACACAAUCUCUGUACUUGUACUUAACCAAACUCUGCCUGUAAUCGAUGAGGAAAGCGGACUUUCUUGGCCGCGUGACGUACAUAUUUCUCGUAUUUUCGUUAACUUCUUCUACGCUCAUGUGCCGCUACAAAUUUAUCUAAAUUUCGAUACUAUUUUAGUUUUCAAAAGUAAAUGUAUCUCUUGAUGGUAUGGUUAAAUUUCCUAAAAAUAAAAUAAGUCGGUGAGCGUAAUUCAUACCAUUUCGAUAUUUUCAUUUAUUUUUAUUUAAUUCCACGCAAUUAAUCGCAUCGUUUAACAUAUAGAAAUUAAAUUGUUAAAUUAUUUGAUUAACUUACUAAAAUAUACACAGCCGAUAUAGCUGAGCUCACUUAUAUCUUCACUCGAUUCUCAGACUCAUUUACAUUUGAUCUCCCAAAAUGAACAUCAUUUGACGUACGCAACAUAUCUUGAUAAAUUGUUAACUUAGUAAAUAUAUACGUAGAAGAUCUCACGUAUACUUUUACCUUAUUCUUAGAUCUAUUCACUUGUUAGUUUACUUUCCAAAAUCAGUUAUACUUCUUUGUAAGCUUAUUAAGUGUUUAAAGUACAGAAACUAAGAAACAUAUAUGUAGCAUCGCGGACAAAUGGCCUAAGAAAUAUCUGGCGUACCAUAAACAAUAUUGCGGGAAGCCUUAAGUGCUGUUAGGCCAAAAAGGGCCUGGCAGUUUUACCGGGGAGUCAAGUGGGGAGGAGUCGAGUUGAGUAGUCGUGAGUUGAGAGUCGAGUUGUGAGUUGGUACCCGAGUGGUGGGGAGUCGAGUUGAGAAUCGAGUGGAGUAGUCAAGUUGUGAGUUGACAGUCGAGGUGUGAGGAGUUGAGUAGUCGUGAGUUAAGAGUCGAGGCGUGAGGAGUUGAGUAGUCGUGAGUUGAGAGUCGAGUUGUGAGUUGGCAGCCGAGUGGUGAGGAGUCGAGUGGAGUAGUCAAGUUGUGAGUUGACAGUCGAGUUGCGAGGAGUCGAGAGUUGAGAGUCGAGAUGUGAGAAGUUGAGUAGUCGUGAGUUGAGAGUCGAGUUGUGAGUUGAGAUAGUCGUGAGUCGAGAGUCGAGUUUAAAUAGUCGUGAGUUGAGAGUUGAGUUUAAAUAAUCGUGAGUUGAGAGUCGAGUUUAAAUAGUCGUGAGUAGAGAGUCAAAUUGAGAUAGUUGUGAGUUGAGAGUCGAGUUAUGAGGAAUCAAGUUGUAAGUUGACAGUCUAGUGGUGGGGAGUCGAGUUAUGAGGAGUGGAGAGUUGAGUUGCCGAGUUGUUAUGAGUCGUAAACUAUUACAAUAGUUGUGAGUUGUGAAUUAACUAUUUAGUUGUCUUAGUUAUAGCACAUUACUGUAUAUAGUUCACGUUAAGUAACCAUCGUUUCUUGUCAAAUCCAUUGCAAAUAGAUCUAUUGAUCAAUAAACUAAUAAGUUUAAUAAGUCCUAUUAUAUAGGAUAAAUAAAAAAUUCCUAUAUACACCUUGUAUUCAGUCUUUA